GCUAUUCCCAGUCUAAAAAGUUUAUUUUGUGUUGCUAGAAUUUUGCACUUGGUAUUCUGCCGUGCUUUAUAUUAGUUAUAUUGUCAUUAUUAUUGGUAUUUUCCUUCUUGUUCGUGGAAAACGUUUGGGUGACGAUUUAUUAUCGCUGCUGUACAAGUCAUCCCCAAUUAUGUGCUUUUAACUAGUCUUUGAAAUUUGGAACAUUUUGGUUGCCUUAGGUAUAACUCAAGAUUUUUGUCCUGCCAGGCUUUUUAGAUUAUGUAUCUGGUGUGGCUGAAAAGUUUGUUUGUUGCAGUCUGUAAGGCAAGCCUUUUGGUGUGUGUGUGUUUGUGUAUGAAAAAUGUUGUGUACCAUACAUAUUCCGUGAUGGCCAGUAGAUAUGCUCCCAAAUUUCUUUCUCUGACAACUCUAGAUAGAGAAUGGAAUCUUUUCUUUUCUGCAUUUUGACGUUUGGUUCAGGUUUGUGCUAUAGCAAGAUCCUUGGAUGUCUAUGAAUCUCGGGUACAGUUUUUUUCCAAUUUCCCUUGUCUGACAGUUUUAUUCUUUGUCAAUUUUACCAAGUAGAAGAGCUCCUUGCUCCCCUCCCUUUCUUUCUCUUUCGGCUUUUCUUGACCGAUACCUCUAGAGGGUCAUUUUGCUGAAAAUUUCAAGUUUCUGAACUCUCUCCUCCUUCCGACACCCUGCAACCCCCCUCCAACGCCCCUAGGGGAUUAUCUUUUCCUCUCCUCUUUGGUUGAUUUUUUCUUACCGGUUACUUCAACAGGCUAAUUUCCCUGGGAAGGCAAGGCAGAUAAGCUCAGAAUUUUCUUACGCGGAGAACUGAACCACACCGGUGACGGGGCAGAGUGAAUGCCGCUAUGCAAGCCUCCUCGCUGCCGCUUGCGUCUUGAACCAAACCAAUUCGCCUCCAUACAGCGAACCAGAUGGGUGUUUCAAGAAACCCAAAGCUCCGGCCUGCGUUUGUUUUUGGAGGUAUUCCCCAACCCUGCACGUGGUGAAAGCUUGAUCUUUUGAGCUAUUUAGAUCUCAGGCAUGAUGUUGGGGAUAAUGAAAGGUGCUGAAGAAUGCAAGAUAACAUUUAAAUGCCAAGACCAGGGACAUCUUGUUUUAGAAUGCAGACCAGUGUGACCUAUCUUAUCUUCUAUUAGUAGUCCACACGAUUAGAAUUCUUUCCCGCAUUGUUUAUCACUAAUUUUAAUUCUCUUUUUCUGAUAUAUGCUUUAUGCAUGCACGAAGAAUGGGGAGGAUGGUUAGAUUUGUUGUUUUGACAUUUCCUUUCCUAUUUAGUUGAUUUUUUCUUACUGUUUACUUUAACAGGCCAUAUUCAAGUGAAGGCAAGACAGAGAAGCACAAAAUCUUUUGAGGGUAUCUGUUUAUGCUUUCUUCUUCAUCACCAAGUUGCUUUGAAUUGUUAAAAGAAACUUGUUAACUAAUCUUGCUGAUUUAUUUGGCAAAUCUACUACAUAAAGCAGUUGGUACAAUAUUUUAACCGUUGCCCACGAGCCAAUUUUGAUGAAGUAAGUAGUACUCGGAAGUCACUUUGUGGCAUUAGUUUGUCUUGAACCCCACAAAAAAGAAUCGUUUUUGCAUAUUUUAGAAUUAGAUAACGUUUUAUAUAUAUUAAAUAAAAUGUUUAUACACAUGAAAACUUAUUAAGUAGUUAUUAAUGAGUAAAAUUUAGGUGAUAUUUGUGUGUCCAAAAUUUAUUUAGUUUAACAUAUAUAGAGAAAAACAGAAGAAUUCACAAAAAUUAAAAAUAGGGAAUUGGAUUUUUUUUAUGGAAAGAAAGAAACAGGUAGUCAAGAAAGCAAAGGCAGCCCGACUUGAACCCCCCAUGGUAUUUACAUUUAAAAGCUUCAAUUUUUUUUAAUUUCUAUUAUAAACUUUCAAAUAAUAUCUGAUUUUUUAUUAUUGUCCUCGUAGUUCUUUUUUUUAGAGAGGAAAUUUUAUUCCGUCAAGUUUCUCUCUCUCUCUCUCUCUUGAUCUAUUUUCUGUCCCUUUAAAAGUUUUUUCUAUUUUUGGGUUCGUGUCAACAAUGUUUGAAUGAUUGAUUUUGUGCUUAUGGGGAAAAACAGAAGGAUUCACCAAAAUGAAAAAUAGUGUGAUGAAUUUUUUGAUGAAAAAAGAAAAACAGGUAAUCAGGAAGCAAAGGCAGCCUGACUUAGACCCCCCUCUUGUGGUUUUUGGAUGACGUUUGAUAGAUGAUCGUCCUUGGUAUUUACAUUUAAAUGCUUGCUUCCUUUUUUUAAUUUAUUCAUUUUGUUUUAUUAAUUUAUGUUGCAAACUUUCAAAUAUUAUCAUCAGAUUUUUUACUAUUUUUUUUGUUUUUUUUAAAUUAUUAUUCUGUCAAAUUUUUUAUGUCUCCUAUGUUUUAUUUAUGUCCCUUAAGAAGAAAUUUUUUUUGGGUAGGUGUCAACAAUUGUUGAAUGAUUGAUUUUUUGUUUAUUGGGAAAACAGAGGGAUUUACAAUAAUAAAAAAUAUGGAGAUUAAUUUUUUUGAUGAAAAGGAAAGGAGCAUGUAAGCAAAUGAAGCAAAGGCAGACAGACAUCCCCUCUGAUUUUAUUUGGAUGGCGUUUGAUCGGUGAUCUUCCAUGGUAUUUAUUUUUAAAAGCUUCCUUCCUUUUUUUUAUCAAUUGUUUUUACAAAUUUUUAAAUGAUAUUUGAAUUUUUAUUAUUGACCUCGUAGUUUAUUUUUUUUUUAAAAUUAUUACUUUCAAAUUUCCCUCUCUCUCUCUUUCUGUCUUUUAUUCUAUUUUUUGGGAACUUAUUAACAGUUGUUAAAUGGUUAAUUUUGUGUUUAUGGGGGAAAAUGGAAGGAUUCACAAAAAUUAAAAAUAGGGGGAUGAAUUUUUUGAAGAAAAAGAAAGAAACAGGUAGUCAAGGAAGCAAAGGCAGACCGACCUGACCCCCUCUGGUGGUUUUUGGAUGGCAUUUGAUAUAUGGUCAUUCAUGGUUUAUUUUCAAAACCUACAACAGAAAACAAUUGGUACAGAUAUUUUAAUAGCGGCCCACAAGCGAAUCUUGGUAAAGUAAGUAGUACUCGGAAGUCUCUUCGUGACAUUAAUUUGUCUUGAACCACAAAAAAAAUCGUGUUUGCAUAUUUUAAAAUUAGAUAAUGUUUUAAAUAUUUUAAAUAAAAUAUGUUAGUACACAUGAAAAAUUUUCAAGUAAUUUUUAACAAUAUAAUUUAGAUGAUAAUUAUGUAUCCAAAAUUUAUUUAAUUUAACAUAUCUAGGAGAAAAGAGAAGGAUUCACAAAAAUUAAAAAUAGGAAAAUGAAUUUUUUGGAUGAAAAGAAAGAAAAAGAUAAUCAAGGAAGCAAAGGCAGCCCUUGAACCCCCCACCCGCCCCGCCCGCAGUGAUUUUAUGAUGGCGUUUGAUGGAUGAUCAUUCAUGGUAUUUACAUUUAUUCUGUCAAUUUUUUCUCUCUGUCUCCUAUCUUCUAUUUACUGUCCCUUAAAAAGAAUCUUUUUUUGGUUCUUAUCAACAAUUAUUUAAUGGUUGAUUUUGUGCUUAUGGGAAAAAACAGAAGGAUUCCCCCAAAAUGAAUAGGUUUGAUGAAUUUUUUGAUGAAAAAGAAAGAAAUAGGUAAUCAAGGAAGCAAUGGCAGCCCGAGCUGAUCACCUCUUGUGGUUUUUGGAUGGCAUUUGAUAGAUGAUCGUACAUGGGGAAAACAGAAGGAUUCACCAAAUUAAAAAAUCAUGUGAAUUUUUUUACGAAAAAGAAAGAAACAGGUAAUCAAGGAAGCAAAGACAGCCCUACUUGGCCCCCUCUGGUGGUUUUUGGAUGGCGUUUGAUAGAUGGUUGUCCAUGAUGCUGUUUUGAUAAAAGGAAAAUAAUUUAACAGUGAGGAUUUCUCCAAAUUUGAUGCUCCAGAUUUAAUUUGGGUUGUUAUAAAUAGGAAAGAAAAAAAGGGGAAAAAAAAGAGAGGAAAGAAAGGGAGAAACUCGAAGAGAGAGAGAGGCCAUUUGCGGAAGGAGAGAAUUGCAGAGAGGAAGAGAAGGAGAGGGAGAAACAACAUCACGAAACCAGGCUGAUGGAAGAAGAAAUAGGAGGGUGAUUUCUGUGAAGGCUAGGCAGGAAUUAUAGUGGAAUCGUCCAAUGGAGGUAAGAUCUAUUAAAUGUCUUGAUUUCUCAUGUUUUGUAGAACUAAUGAUGAGUGAAAGGGAUAGGAAAACGAGUGGUGUAAAAACCUUGAGAGAUUUAAAGAUUUUAGGUGAUCUGGAGUGUUACACCGAUUGGAUAUAACAAGUUACCGGUUCAGUGUUGAUCUGAAGCGUAGUGGUGAAUAGACCCGGCAAACGAAGUAGAAAAUAAAAAAUAAAAAAUAAAAAAAAGGGAGGGGGGACUAGGUGGACUUUGGAUGUGAAUGCAGAGGGAUUUUAUAUUAUUCCACAAUUGAAUGGUGGAAUAAUAUAAUGCAGAAAUGUGAGACUUCAAGAAUGGUGGAUGUGUGGAAUGGGCAUGAGGUGAUAAAAAUCAAAUUGGGGGCUAGAUGAUGAUACUUCAGAGGGACUGGUGAGAUGAGGUAGAGAGGGAGUUCAGGUUAUUGAGAGAAGUGGUAUAGUACUCUGGAUCAAUAGAAAAGGUGCAGAUGCAGCAAGGUGUGUGUAGGGAGUGAGCAGGCGAGAGGAGGGCAGAAGGCUGAGAGCAGAAGUAAGCUAGUAUGGGUGCAGAAAAAAAAAUGAAAACAGAGAAAAGAAAGGGUGACCGGAGCAGGAGAAGGAGUUUAUUAAAUUUAGCAGAGAAUUGCUUACAACCUGAGAGGAGAAAAUUUGGAAAAGGAAGAACAAUAAGAAUUAAAUAAAUAAAUAAAUAAAAUACCAAGGAGGACAUUUUGAGUGGGAGAACCCUUCCGCUUGAACUGGCAACGGGUGAAAAAGAAUGAGAAUGGAAGUAUGAGCAGUACUGUCAGAAAACAUAAAAGAAAAGAAUAAUAGAGGAAAAACUGGAACAUGCUGUGAGCGGGCAGAUGAUGACCGAGAGACACCUUUUGAGAAUUUUAAAUAUUGGGGUCUGUGAAUGCUGAACAGA